rnacentral:tRNA from 1 species
AGGUCUGCUGCGGUGGUGGAGGUCUGCAUGCGGCUCCUUCGCAAUGAGAAGGUCAGGGGUUCGAUUCCCCUCAGAUCCACCA